rnacentral:lncRNA from 1 species
AGAUAUUUUAGCCUUGGUAGCUUUCACAGUGUGAAAAGAGUACCCUCUAAAAUACUAAAAGCUAAAGGAUAUUGACCAAGACUGAGAUAUAGAAGGUUACCAGCAGAAACUUGGAGGUAAUCUAAUUUGCAUUUUCUGGCCCAAAAGAUUAACUCUCAAGACCAAAGGCAAAUGCUAAUGACCCUAAAAUAUAUGCUGGUCUGAUACCAGGGAUGAGAAGAAUGACUAAUAAAAAAACAGAGUCCUGAAUUGAACCUGUGUUCCCAGUUCCUGGAACCCCCCUGAGGCUCUUGGUUUCCUCCUGGUUUAUCAGAACAAUGGAGGAAACUUGCCUCCAGUUCUAUCUUCAUUUGUGGGUCCUUCCAGCUGUGCCAUGUGGGACGCCGCCUCAGCAUGGCUUGAUGAACGGCGCCAUGUCCGCGCCCAGGAUCUGAACCGGCGAACCUUGGGCUGUGGAAGUGGAGUGUGCGAACUUUAAUCGCUGGGCCACGGGGCCGGCCCUCAAGGAAGUAUUUCAAUUAAUAAAGAUUAAAA